rnacentral:pre_miRNA from 13 species
CUCAUUCGAUGUUCCACCCUUUUCACACACCUGACUAACACAAAACCGCAGAUGUAUUGAUGUUAGUAGGCGUUGUGGGAAGGGUGGCGAUGAUGAGCAUA